rnacentral:rRNA from 1 species
GACGAACGCUGGCGGCGUGCCUAAUACAUGCAAGUCGAACGCACAGUUUAUACCUUAGCUUGCUACACCAUAGACUGUGAGUUGCGAACGGGUGAGUAACGCGUAGGUAACCUGCCUGGUAGCGGGGGAUAACUAUUGGAAACGAUAGCUAAUACCGCAUAAUAUUAAUUAUUGCAUGAUAAUUAAUUGAAAGGUGCAAUUGCACCACUACCAGAUGGACCUGCGUUGUAUUAGCUAGUAGGUGAGGUAACGGCUCACCUAGGCGACGAUACAUAGCCGACCUGAGAGGGUGAUCGGCCACACUGGGACUGAGACACGGCCCAGACUCCUACGGGAGGCAGCAGUAGGGAAUCUUCGGCAAUGGACGAAAGUCUGACCGAGCAACGCCGCGUGAGUGAAGAAGGUUUUCGGAUCGUAAAGCUCUGUUGUAAGAGAAGAACGGGUGUGAGAGUGGAAAGUUCACACUGUGACGGUAGCUUACCAGAAAGGGACGGCUAACUACGUG